rnacentral:rRNA from 1 species
UACGUAGGAGGCGAGCGUUGUCCGGAAUUACUGGGCGUAAAGAGCGCGUAGGCGGCGUGCUACGACCGGUGUGAAAGCCCCCGGCUCAACUGGGGAGGGUCACGGUAACGGGUAUGCUUAUGAGUGCAGGAGAGGGACGUGGAACUCCGGGAGUAGCGGUGAAAUGCGUAGAGACCCGGAGGAACACCAGUGGCGAAGGCGGCGUCCUGGCCUGCGACUGACGCUGUGGCGCGAAAGCUAGGGGAGCGAACGGG